rnacentral:rRNA from 1 species
AUUGAACGCUGGCGGCAGGCCUAACACAUGCAAGUCGAACGAGUGGCGGACGGGUGAGUAAUUUCUGGGAAACUGCCUGAUGGAGGGGUAUAACUACUGGAAACGGUAGCUAAUACCGCAUACCAUCGGAUGUGCCCAGAUGGGAUUAGCUAGUAGGUGGGGUAACGGCUCACCUAGGCGACGAUCCCUAGCUGGUCUGAGAGGAUGACCAGCGACAAUGUAACUGAGACACGGGCCAGACUACUACGGGAGGAAGGAGUGGGGAAGAUUGGACAAUGGGCGCAAGCCUGAGACAGCCAGGCCGGGUGUAUGAAGAAGGCCUUCGGGUUGUAAAGUACUUUCAGCGGGGAGGCGUUACCCGUAGAAGAAGCAACGGCUAACUCCGUGCCAGCAGCCGCGGUAAUAC